GAUGAACGCUAGCGGCAGGCCUAACACAUGCAAGUCGAGGGGCAUCAUAAAACAAGCUUGCUUGUUUGGUGGCGACCGGCGCACGGGUGCGUAACGCGUAUGCAACCUACCCUGUACUGGGGGAUAGCCCGGAGAAAUUCGGAUUAAGACCCCAUAGUAUUCUUGAAUGGCAUCAUUUGAGGAUUAAAGGUUACGGUACAGGAUGGGCAUGCGUCCUAUUAGCUAGAUGGUGAGGUAACGGCUUACCAUGGCAACGAUAGGUAGGGGGCCUGAGAGGGUGGUCCCCCACACUGGUACUGAGACACGGACCAAACUCCUACGGGAGGCAGCAGUGAGGAAUAUUGGUCAAUGGGCGCAAGCCUGAACCAGCCAUGCCGCGUGCAGGAAGACGGUCCUAUGGAUUGUAAACUGCUUUUAUUUGGGAAUAAACCUCUUUACGUGUAGAGAGCUGAAGGUACCAAAUGAAUAAGCACCGGCUAACUCCGUGCCAGCCGCCGCGGUAAAAC
rnacentral:rRNA from 1 species